GGGUGGGGCAGGGCUUGAAGGCUGUGGGUGUGGGGCCCCAUAAUCAUUUGGUCCAGGACAGGCAGUAGGCGUCAGGGGGCGCCCUAAGGCUCCACGGCAUGUGCCUGUAUUGCUGGGACAUCGAGCCUUCCCAAGUCAACCCUGAAGGACCAAGACAACAUCAUCCUUCAGAGGUCACUGAGCGGCAGCUUGCAAAUAAACGUAUUCAGAAUAUGCAACACCUAAAGAAAGAGAAGAGGAGACUGAAUAAAAGGUUUUCAAGGCCUUCUCCUAUUCCAGAACCAGGACUCCUAUCCCAGAUGUUUUUUAAAGAAAUGUCUACAAACUGUUCUAUACCAUUCAUCCCACCAACUGGUUUGAGGUUGCAGAGACAACUGAAAUGUUUCACAAAUAAUGGUCAUCUUGAUAAAGCAGGAGUCUAUUUGAAGGAAACCAUGCUCCAGACAGAAAUAUGUGGAUUGUGAACAUCAAGUGACAUAUCAUGAAUUGAUCAUCCACAAAAUAAAUGCAAUACUCCACCAUUUCGGAAAAAUAAACACAGUGCAAGUAUUUAAUAUCCAAGCUACAGGCUCUAGAAUUUUAUUAAAUGCCAUCUCUCACUACCAUAUUUUUCUUUCCUGUGGUAAACUUGAAAUUUGC
rnacentral:lncRNA from 1 species